rnacentral:rRNA from 1 species
CCUACGGGAGGCAGCAGUGGGGAAUAUUGCACAAUGGGGGAAACCCUGAUGCAGCGACGCCGCGUGAGUGAAGAAGUAUUUCGGUAUGUACAGCUCUAUCAGCAGGGAAGAAAAUGACGGUACCUGAGUAAGAAGCCCCGGCUAACUACGUGCCAGCAGCCGCGGUAAUACGUAGGGGGCAAGCGUUAUCCGGAUUUACUGGGUGUAAAGGGAGCGGAGACGGCAGCACAAGUCUGGAGUGAAAUGCCGGGGCUUAACCCCGGAACUGCUUUGGAAACUGUGCAGCUAGAGUGCAGGAGAGGUAAGCGGAAUUCCUAGUGUAGCGGUGAAAUGCGUAGAUAUUAGGAGGAACACCAGUGGCGAAGGCGGCUUACUGGACUGUAACUGACGUUGAGGCUCGAAAGCGUGGGGAGCAAACAGGAUUAGAUACCCGAGUAGUC